rnacentral:rRNA from 1 species
GCAUACUGCUCAGUAACACGUGGACAAUCUAACCUAUGGAAGGGGAUAACCCCGGGAAACUGGGGAUAAUACCCUAUAGACUAUGGAUGCUGGAAUGCUUUGUAGUCGAAAGGUCCGCCGCCAUAGGAUGGGUCCUGCGGCCGAUUAGGUUGUUGUUGGGGUAACGCCCAACAAGCCUGUAAUCGGUACGGGUUGUGGGAGCAAGAGCCCCGGAGAUGGAUUCUGAGACACGAAUCCAGGCCCUACGGGGCGCAGCAGGCGCGAAAACUUUGCAAUGCCGGGAAACCGUGACAGGGGAACUCCGAGUGCCCGUAAAAUCGGGCUGUCCAUCAGUUUAAAUAACUGGUGAAGAAAGGGCCGGGCAAGACCGGUGCCAGCCGCCGCGGUAAUACCGGCGGCUCGAGUGGUGGCCACUAUUACUGGGCUUAAAGCGUUCGUAGCUGGUUUGUUAAGUCUCUGGGGAAAUCUUCCGGCUCAACCGGAAGGCGUCUCAGGGAUACUGGCAGACUAGGGACCGGGAGAGGUGAGGGGGUACUCCAGGGGUAGGAGUGAAAUCCUGUAAUCCUUGGGGGACCACCUGUGGCGAAGGCGCCUCACCAGAACGGCUCCGACAGUGAGGGACGAAAGCUGGGGGAGCAAACCGGAUUAGAUACCCGGGUAGUCCCAGCUGUAAACGAUGCGCGUUAGGUGUAUCGGUGACCACGAGUUACCGAGGUGCCGAAGAGAAAUCGUGAAACGUCCCCCCUGGGAAGUACGGUCGCAAGGCUGAAACUUAAAGGAAUUGGCGGGGGAGCACCACAACAGGUGGAGCCUGCGGUUU